UGCCGGAUCGUCUAAUGGUAGGACAACGGAUUCUGGCUCCGUUUAUCUAGGUUCGAGUCCUAGUCCGGCAG
rnacentral:tRNA from 1 species